rnacentral:rRNA from 1 species
UGGGGAAUAUUGCACAAUGGGGGAAACCCUGAUGCAGCGACGCCGCGUGAGCGAAGAAGUAUUUCGGUAUGUAAAGCUCUAUCAGCAGGGAAGAUAAUGACGGUACCUGACUAAGAAGCCCCGGCUAACUACGUGCCAGCAGCCGCGGUAAUACGUAGGGGGCAAGCGUUGUUCGGAAUUACUGGGCGUAAAGGGCAUGUAGGCGGCUCUGUAAGCCUGGCGUGAAAGUCACCGGCUCAACCGGUGGAUUGCGCUGGGAACUGCGGGGCUUGAAUCAUGGAGAGGGAGCUAGAAUUCCAGGUGUAGGGGUGAAAUCUGUAGAGAUCUGGAAGAAUACCAGUGGCGAAGGCGAGCUCCUGGCCAAUGAUUGACGCUGAGGUGCGAAAGUGUGGGGAUCAAACA